rnacentral:rRNA from 1 species
GACGAACGCUGGCGGCGUGCUUAACACAUGCAAGUCGAACGGUGAAGCCUUCGGGUGGAUCAGUGGCGAACGGGUGAGUAACACGUGAGCAAUCUGCCCUUGACUCUGGGAUAACUUCGGGAAACCGGAGCUAAUACCGGAUAUGACAUCUGGCCGCAUGGUCUGGGUGUGGAAAGAUUUAUCGGUCAAGGAUGAGCUCGCGGCCUAUCAGCUUGUUGGGGGGUAAUGGCCCACCAAGGCGACGACGGGUAGCCGGCCUGAGAGGGCGACCGGCCACACUGGGACUGAGACACGGCCCAGACUCCUACGGGAGGCAGCAGUGGGGAAUAUUGCGCAAUGGGCGGAAGCCUGACGCAGCGACGCCGCGUGAGGGAUGAAGGCC